UCCGGUUUGUCGCCGGCAGUCUCGUAUGAGUCCCCAACUAAAUGCUGGCAACAUACGACGAGAGUUGCGCUCGUUGCGGGACUUAACCCAACAUCUCACGACACGAGCUGACGACAACCAUGCACCACCUGUACACCGACCUUGCGGGGAGCACAUCUCUGCACUUUUCCGGUGUAUGUCAAGCCUUGGUAAGGUUCUUCGCGUUGCAUCGAAUUAAUCCGCAUGCUCCGCCGCUUGUGCGGGCCCCCGUCAAUUCAUUUGAGUUUUAAUCUUGCGACCGUACUCCCCAGGCGGUCAACUUAUCGCGUUAGCUGCGCCACCAAGCACACUAAGGUGCCCAACGGCUAGUUGACAUCGUUUACGGCGUGGACUAC
rnacentral:misc_RNA from 1 species